rnacentral:rRNA from 1 species
AUUGAACGCUGGCGGCAGGCCUAACACAUGCAAGUCGAGCGGAUGAAGGGAGCUUGCUCCUGGAUUCAGCGGCGGACGGGUGAGUAAUGCCUAGGAAUCUGCCUGGUAGUGGGGGAUAACGUCCGGAAACGGGCGCUAAUACCGCAUACGUCCUGAGGGAGAAAGUGGGGGAUCUUCGGACCUCACGCUAUCAGAUGAGCCUAGGUCGGAUUAGAUAGUUGGUGGGGUAAAGGCCUACCAAGGGGACGAUCCGUAACUGGUCUGAGAGGAUGAUCAGUCACACUGGAACUGAGACACGGUCCAGAGUCCUAAGGGAGGCAGCAGUGGGGAAUAUUGGACAAUGGGCGGAAGCCUGAUCCAGCCAUGCCGAGUGUGUGAAGAAGGUCUUCGGAUUGUAAAGCACUUUAAGUUGGGAGGAAGGGCAGUAAGUUAAUACCUUGCUGUUUUGACGUUACCAACAGAAUAAGCACCGGCUAACUUCGUG